CCAGGAGACAACAAUCAUGUGGUUGGAGGACUAUUUUUCUAUGAAAGAUCCUAUGAAAGAUUUAGACCUUACUGAUAAAGAAGUGGAGAAGGGAAGGCAGAAGGUGCCCAACUCCACAUUGGUGAUGAGGAAACUGAGGACCAGGAUAUGAAGUGACUUGGACUUAGUCCAGGUCACAUAAGUAGUCAGCAUCAGAG